rnacentral:lncRNA from 1 species
CUAUAUGCAGAGCAAAUCUUAAAUUGGCAGCGAAUCUUCUAACGGGGGUUCGAGCCACUUGAACCCGUCCUCGAAGACGGGACGUCAGUGACAGGAAUCGGUGUAUCACUUCGGGGGGGGGGGAAGCUUCGGGAGUUCGGAGUGGUCUAGUUGAUUUUCGCCGACUUUGGAGUGGUACUUCGGUAAGUCUGUACCGAGGCUCUCAAACGAGGCGUCGCAAAAUGAGGCGUAACAAUCUGGAUAUUCCAAAAUAAACAGGGCAAGGAGCAAAGAAGAAUUAUGAAGUGGGAGAAAGUUGCAGGGAGUAUUAUGUGAAUUGUCUGGGCAUAUAAAUUAACGUUAAUCAAGAACCCUUUGCCGAGAGGAGCUACCCUUAAAAAAGCUUAAAGUCAAAACCUUUCAAGGAAGGAAGGAGGUUGGAAAGCACUAAAACCAUCAAUGCAAUUAUUGAACCAAAGAGGUUCCCCAUCUUAUAAUUUUGGCGAUCACAUCCUCAAACUUGGAUGUACCUGUAAUUUAUAUCAAUUAUUAAAAAAAUUACUGUAUUGAUUGUUAUUCAUCAAGUUUUGAUAAUAA